GACGAGUCUCACGAACGUUAUUCGGAAUUACUGGGCUUAAAGGGUGCGUAGGCGGUGGAGUAAGUCGGAUGUGAAAUACCAUAGCUUAACUAUGGAACUGCACUCGAUACUACUUUGCUUGAGUAAGACAGAGGUGAGUGGAACUGAGGGUGGAGCGGUGAAAUGCGUUGAUAUCCUCAGGAACACCGGUGGCGAAGGCGACUCACUGGGUCUUUACUGACGCUGAUGCACGAAAGCUAGGGUAGCAAACGGG
rnacentral:rRNA from 1 species